GAUGAACGCUGGCGGCGUGCUUAACACAUGCAAGUCGAACGGGAAUUAUUUUAUUGAAACUUCGGUCGAUUUAAUUUAAUUCUAGUGGCGGACGGGUGAGUAACGCGUGGGUAACCUGCCUUAUACAGGGGGAUAACAGUCAGAAAUGGCUGCUAAUACCGCAUAAGCGCACAGAGCUGCAUGGCUCAGUGUGAAAAACUCCGGUGGUAUAAGAUGGACCCGCGUUGGAUUAGCUUGUUGGCAGGGUAACGGCCUACCAAGGCGACGAUCCAUAGCCGGCCUGAGAGGGUGAACGGCCACAUUGGGACUGAGACACGGCCCAGACUCCUACGGGAGGCAGCAGUGGGGAAUAUUGCACAAUGGGGGAAACCCUGAUGCAGCGACGCCGCGUGAAGGAAGAAGUAUCUCGGUAUGUAAACUUCUAUCAGCAGGGAAGAUAGUGACGGUACCUGACUAAGAAGCCCCGGCUAACUACGU
rnacentral:rRNA from 1 species